AAAGUCAUAGUCAAUUAUGACAUUUGGGUUGCAUUCAAAAAGUGCUUCAAAAGG
rnacentral:tRNA from 1 species